GUUCUGUCGUCGAUUAUUUUCUCGGCUAAAUCUGAAACAGCCUCGACCAUAUCGCCGACACAUUUUUUUUCAUUUCAACGACGACUCGUAUUCUCUGUCGCCUUCUCCGGCGUUUUCGAAGUCUCCUCCUGCCGAUACGCGGAUACUGCCGCGAUUCCUCCAUAUAUAUCAGAGAUAAGCAUUUUCUCUUCUGUCUUUUGCGGGUUUGGUUUUUGAUUUUGAUUCUUUUUGUCUCCUGGAUUUGCUUAGUCGGAGCAACUGAAAUAGUUUAGGGAUCGAGAAUUUAGGUUGUAUAUCUCCAUCGACCAUUAUCAUGAUCUCUUCUGGAAUUUCUCAAAUUUGGAUUUAGUUUCUAUAUAUGUCCUGAACUAAUUUAGGGAUCGAUGAAUCAUUGAUUUUUUUCUGAAUGAUAUUGUGUUAAAAAUUGAUGAUCAUGAAACAUAAAAGGGUCAUGUUCGAUUGUGUCUAAUAUUGUGUCUAUCUUUUUGCAGAUUCAUCUAUUAACAAUGGUUCUCUUCCUCUUCACAUCCAGCUGUUGGUCAAGGCUUUUAGGAAGCUGUUAAGAGUGGAUAUGUGUGUGAGAGCUUUUGUCGGCAUAAAAGAACAAAGGUUAAUGGCUUUUGGUGGGCACAAAAAAAACAAUAGAGAUGUAAUGUUUGACACAACAAGAUGUAACUUGUCUUUAUUUUUUUUUCUUGUCGUUUGUUUUUUAUAAUUUCAAACCACAUAUUUCUUAUCUAAUGUUUGAUACCACAAGUUGUAUCUAAUAAUUCACACCACUUGUAAAGUAUCAUUCGUCUAUAUGUACUGAGAAAUGAGUUAUUGUUUUCUA